AACACAAUUAUCCAAUAACAAGUAUUCCGUGUUGUGUUUAGAUUUUAGAAUUUGGAUUUGUUUUUCUUAUCCUCUAUAGUGGUUCUACUUACAGUACUUAGUACUAACUGUAAUUAUGAUUUGAUAACUGAUCUAAAUGUAUGUUCCUUAGAACAAGAAUAACCGUAAUUGAUUUGAGCAUAUGGGGCCUGCAUGGGAGUAUAAUUUGUGAAAACAAUAAUAAACAGCACAUGUUAUCAUUAUGGAACAAAUAUUACAAUUCGAUUGGACAAAUUUUCAGCCGGAGACCGACAAAUAUUUCCUUACUGCUGAGGCCUUGGAAAAUAGUGUUACUGAGAAAAUUCUACAAAAUAACUUUCACGAUCCACUAAUAUCCAGCAGUGAGGAUGAAGAGCAAGAAGUUAUCAACUGGGAUGAAAUUUUCAGUAAAAAGAAAAAUGAUCAAAGGAACAACCACAUUUUUGUGCCAGGAUUUAGAGGAUGUCCAAAAUAUCCAAAACUGUCGAGUCUAAAGCCCAAUCAACAAACACAACUUCUGAAAGUUAUUUGUGCAAACCAUUCGCAUGUUCUUCCACAGAAAACUUUUCCAAGACCUACUAAGAUAGAUUUUAAGCUAUUUGAGGAAUUAAAACCAGUCUAUGAACAAGAACAGAAAGAAUUUAUAGCCUGGGCUAAAAACCUUUGGACCACAGAACAUUGUGUUAGAGCAUUACGACCCAAGCCACCGGUGGAGUUAGUUUAUGAAGCAUAUUUUAAAUUAAAAGCUAGUGAACUUCAAUGUUAUCCAAAAGUGUAUACCCUAGCAGCUCAAAUACCACUUGAGGCAAAUCAAGAAAACUACAAUGAAAUGAUUUUUUGUGAAAAUUUAAUUGAUGUUAAUAACUUAGAUAUGCCAGAAAUUCAAUAUGAAGCAAUUGAGGAAAAAAUUUUAAUUGUAAAAAAUUGUUCUGUGCCUGAGCCUUGUAAUAAACAUCCCUGUAGAUUUAUUCUACCAACUGAAAACUCAGUAUCGAUUCUACCAAAAACAGAGAUAGAAAGAGAGCUAGCUCAAUAUGCUUUGGAGCAAGGCGCACAGUACAUUGCUAGUGAGAGUGCGCUUAAAUGUCUCCUUACAAUCGAUCAGCCCUGGCAUAUAACUAUUUGCGUCAGUGAAGCCAUAGAUUCAGAUGGCGAGCGAUCAAAUGUCGUUGUGUUAGGUGACGAGUUCUCUAUCAAGAAAGAGUCAGUGCUUCAACGGACAUACAAAGCUUUCCAAUAUCUACUUGAAGACGCACUUGUGCCUUUAUCAGAAAGAUCGAGAUUAAUAAGCCAGAAAACAUCUUCAGAGGACGACUCAUUAAAUGUCAGCAGUAUGGAUAUUCACGAAGAUUUGGAGCCAUCCAGUGACGAUGAGGACAACUUAUGUAUAGACACUGGAGACGAUUUACAAGAGUGUGUGCCACAGACUGAAAAUAUUAAAGACAAAAAUGAUAAGGAAAGUAGUGCUAUCAAUGGCGAUAGUUCGUCAAAUAAAAAAAAUAUAGGACCAUAUGUUUGCACUUGUAAAGACACAAUAUUCGAAGUCCCUCCUCCGCGCUCGUACAAGAAAUGGCGCAUACGCAAUAAAGUCACAGGUGAACGACAUGAUAUUAUCGUCCACUGCGAACAUCGCGUUAGACACGCCACAGGAGAAAUAGUUUUGGAGCCGAUUCCCGAGUAUCAACUUGAGUGUGGUGCUGUCUCGCUCUCGCGCCAUAAGAUCGCCGCUCUUGCUCUCUCGCUUUACUUGAGACGGAAGGCAAGUCUUCUUAAAGUUCGAAUAGAUGGUUCUUCAGGUGAAAUAGUGACAAUGGAGAAAUUGAGUUCCACAGAGUGGAGCGAGAAACACGGCGAAAUGUUGCCACAUAUAGCUAACGUUUUACACACCACAUUGAACCAACUUCAGGGUCUAUUACCUGGCAAUUAUAUACUUCAACAUGAUCCAAGCCACGGAACCAACGCCAUGUUAUACCGACCCGGCAAGUCGAAUGCGGAUUCGUUGGUACUAAACGUAGAUGUGAAUGCGCCUGCGCCGGCCGAUCAGUCCGCGGACGUUAAAGUACCGCCAACGCUCUGCGACGACUUGCUGCCUAUACAUAAAUAUCGAAGAAUUCUGCCUUGUGCGUUUACACCGUAUGAAGACCAGCUUCCAAAGCAGCCACGCAAGGCCCCAACUAAGAACAAAACACCGCCUCAAGCUAUCAAGAGCUCAGCAGGACGAGGCCGCAAACGCAGGAGAGGGCGCCACUAAUCGGUAUAUCAAGUCAACUUAGUGAUGUGCCAGUUUGUCGAUAAGGGUAUUGGUAAAGUUUCGACCUUAAUUACAUCGAUGAAGCUGACGUUGACGUAAGACUAUUGAACGUGAUUUUACUUAGAAACUAUCGAACCAUCCAGCUAUUAAAGAGGAUUUGCAUUCUUGGCCAGCACGUUUGAGGGCAAGAAAGAAGAAAAUCCAAGACUGACAUUCUUUAGUAUUUUCGUGUAUAAUAAAUACAAAUUGACCCCCUUAUUUGUACGAAGUAAAUCAUUCUAAUUUAAUAUUAUAGCAUAAACAAAAUUAUAAAGAUAUAAGAAUAAGCAGCUUAGAAUUGAAUUGAAAGAAUUGUAUUAUUUGUAUAAAUCACAAAACUGAAAAAAUAAAUU